rnacentral:sRNA from 1 species
CACACACACACACCUCUUUUACUUUCCAAUUCCCAAUCCACGAGUCUUUUUACCCUGCCGGCAGAAAGAAAAUUAAAAUAGAACUUGACAAAAUGACAUGUCUAUGUCUGCAUCAGAAUCUCACGGUACAAUAACCCCAAAGCUGAGAGAGGUUUCCUCAGACUCACCGGACUGUUGUGUGCUUUGCAACAGCCUGGGGUUCUGUGUAGCAAUGGUGGGUAAAACCAAGAUGCAGCAUCCAGGGGAUAACAUUAGUUGCCAAAGUCACUGAGCAGCCUAGAGCCACCAUCUUACCUCUUCAUAGAGCCACUACCUCACCUACAGAAUCCCGGAGCCCCAAUGGCUUCCGAGACUUCCCCGCCCAGCUCACAACGGCUUCUGAUGGUCUGUAGGAACUCAGUGACUUUUGCUUACAUCUUUGUUUUAGCGGUGCUGAGAAUUGAACCAAGAUUUUUUGCACAUGCUAGACAAGGGUUUGAGCUGCAGACACCCUUAGUCCCAGAUGUAGAUCUUCAUUACGGUUGCACAUCAGAAAGUGCUGUGUGCACACACAGGUUCACAGGUACACACGUGCCUGGCUUCUCUGAGCCUCUUAUCAGUCCAGACUAAGUGCUGUGCACUUGUAGGAUCCACAAGUAUGCCUACCCUAGUGUGGAGGACAAGAAUGGACUAAGGGUCUCCAUCCCUACUUGCUUAGGAUAGUGCUCUUUAGAUAAGAAUAUUAGGGGUUCCCUGGGUUCGG